AGCCAGCAGCGCCCGGUCGGCCGCUGGCCGCAGGAGAAAGUAAACAACACCCCAAGUGUCCGGGAACAAAGGCAAGUUGUCUUUCUACGGUGCCGCAGCCGUGUGCCUCUUCUGAAGAAUAAGAGCUAUUAUUAUUCUUUAUGUCUUAUCCUUUUUUUUUUUUAAAAAAAAAACCAAGUUUCCUUCUAAGGGAAAUAAACACCAAAGGUAGGAUUCCAAGGAAAUGACUCACAGCGGCUGGCAGGGCUCUGGCGGGGCUGGCCCGGGCCCCCGCGCUCCAGCCCGCAGCAGAUGUCGGCCCGGCCUUCCCUCCCUCCCUUGCCGGCCAAACCCGCUGGAAGCCCGCGGUUGCGGGAGCGCCCUGCGCCCGUGGGACCUGGCGGCGAGGACGCCUAUUCCCUGCUUCUGCGACCACAGCUGGGCACUCGGAAAGUUGCUAGGGCCGAAGAGGCGGGAGGGGAGGAAGGGAAGCGAGAGGCGGAGGCGUGGACCAGGCGGGCAGCAGCCUCAGCCCGCCGAGGAGCGAGGAGCGUGUGAAACCCGUCAAUCCUGUUUGCCAUUUCCCCGUGGAUUUCCGAGGAGAGGUUCUGCAGGAUGCCCCCAGGUGAUCCUCCGACUGUGAAAAACCAGACCUCUGGCUGCCUGGCUCCCUAGGAAUCAAGAAGACGCACAGACUGAAAAUCAAGGGAGGAAGGAACAAGAUCAAGGAUGAGGAUUAGCAUCUGCAAAUUGAACUCUAUCUAAUUUGCAUGUUUAUUUCUUAGAAUUGUAAUUAAAUUUGUGUAAUAAAUGUUUUCCAUUUCAUUUGUACACUUAAAACUUGGGUGACUGACAUGCAGUUAAGUGAAUUUCCUUUUUUUAAAAGCAAAUGUAGAUUAUUCAAUAAAGCAGCAAACCAAUAUUAAACAUAAUUAGAACUAAUUUGUUUUGAAGGUGUUUUUGUUGAACUUUGUACAUUAAAGACUCUCAGAGGUUUUAAGGGUAUUAGGAAGCUGAGAGAUGGCAAUUAUGCUUAAAACAGAUGAACCCAACAGCCUACCAAGAGCAUUAUUUCAUUUUUUCCAAAAGACAUUCCAGGGUUGCAUGCCUAAAAUUGGGAAUUGGGCAUCCAUCUUGGCUUUAUUCUGAACCAUAUUAAAUUGCAUUGGCUCAUGCAUGAUGUGGGCCAUUAUGAUGAUAAUUUAAGAAUUGUAAAGAUGCCAUUUUGUGCAGUCAAUGGAAGUUGCAUGUCCAGGUUAAGAGUAGAGUAUAAUUUUCAUCUGGGUGGGAGAGGAGGGUUAGGAAAGGCACAAGGGCAUUUAAAGCAGUGCAAGUACGUAGAAAUCCAAAUUUCCAAAUAAUCUAAAACUGGUUAUUGUCAAACUCAAAAGAACUAAAUGUGAGGGUUUGGAGGCAUGGCUUAUUAUGGUUUUUAUCUCCCUAUAUUAAAGUUUUAUGGCAUUUAAAGGACUAUGGGUAAAUCCCCAUGUACACUUGGCUGUGUGAAAAUACAUAAAAUCAAAAGGAGCAAAUUAAGCAUAAAAUUGAGAAAUAACAUGAGACUAAGUUAUCAGCAUGGGUGCACUGGCAUCUUUGGAGCUUUGGCUCGGAGAAAUGAGCCUUCUGGGAAACUGGCAUUGCCCUUGGGUGGAGAAGACUCUUGGCUUUAAUGUUACAACAAAAUGGUAUCACAAGUAUCAAAUCAUUGUACUUCACAGCAUCCUUGCAGUUCUGAGUAUGAACUAGACCCUGUCCUCAUCAGAUACAUUAGGUUAGCAUGUUUUACUGACAGCUUUCCCUGCCCUACCUUUAAUCCUAAGCUUAAUGUUUUUUGAGAUUCAAUACCCAACUGUUGACAACAUGAACCUGUGUCUACAAGUACAAGAGGCAGACAAAUGUCUAUGGAAUGAGAAACCUCAUUACAAAUUUAAGGUGACUAUGUGGUAGCUAUGGCAUGAAAAAAGAACCAACUAUAAAUCAAUAAUGAAAAAUUUGGAAUGAGUAAUUGUUAUUUAUAAUGAGGUACAAUAUUUAAUUGACAACUAUGAUGUCAUCAUUUUGGGGUGUGUGUGUGUGUGUAUGUGUGUGUGUGUG
rnacentral:lncRNA from 1 species